UACGAAGGGGGCUAGCGUUGCUCGGAAUCACUGGGCGUAAAGCGCACGUAGGCGGAUUGUUAAGUCGGGGGUGAAAUCCUGGAGCUCAACUCCAGAACUGCCUUUGAUACUGAGGGUCUUGAGUUCGGGAGAGGUGAGUGGAACUGCGAGUGUAGAGGUGAAAUUCGUAGAUAUUCGCAAGAACACCAGUGGCGAAGGCGGCUCACUGGCCCGAUACUGACGCUGAGGUGCGAAAGCGUGGGGAGCAAACAGG
rnacentral:rRNA from 1 species